GAGUUUGAUUCUGGCUCAGGAUGAACGCUGACAGAAUGCUUAACACAUGCAAGUCUACUUGAAUUUGGGUCUUUGACUUAGAUUUGGGUGGCGGACGGGUGAGUAACGCGUAAAGAACUUGCCUCACAGUUAGGGACAACAUUGGAAACGAAUGCUAAUACCUGAUAUUAUGAUUUUAGGGCAUCCUAAGAUUAUGAAAGCUAUAUGCGCUGUGAGAGAGCUUUGCGUCCCAUUAGCUAGUUGGAGAGGUAACAGCUCACCAAGGCGAUGAUGGGUAGCCGGCCUGAGAGGGUGAACGGCCACAAGGGGACUGAGACACGGCCCUUACUCCUACGGGAGGCAGCAGUGGGGAAUAUUGGACAAUGGACCAAGAGUCUGAUCCAGCAAUUCUGUGUGCACGAUGAAGUUUUUCGGAAUGUAAAGUGCUUUCAGUUGGGAAGAAAAAAAUGACG
rnacentral:rRNA from 1 species